rnacentral:rRNA from 1 species
AUUGAACGCUGGCGGCAUGCCUUACACAUGCAAGUCGAACGGCAGCACGGGAGCAAUCCUGGUGGCGAGUGGCGAACGGGUGAGUAAUAUAUCGGAACGUGCCCAGUCGUGGGGAUAACGCAGCGAAAGCUGUGCUAAUACCGCAUACGAUCUAUGGAUGAAAGCGGGGGACUCGCAAGGGCCUCGCGCGAUUGGAGCGGCCGAUAUCAGAUUAGCUAGUUGGUGAGGUAAAGGCUCACCAAGGCGACGAUCUGUAGCUGGUCUGAGAGGACGACCAGCCACACUGGAACUGAGACACGGUCCAGACUCCUACGGGAGGCAGCAGUGGGGAAUUUUUGGACAAUGGGCGAAAGCCUGAUCCAGCAAUGCCGCGUGCAGGAUGAAGGCCU